rnacentral:rRNA from 1 species
GGUUUCCGUAGGUGAACCUGCGGAAGGAUCAUUGUCGAAAGCUGCACAGUUAAGCCACUUGUUAACCUGUUUUUUAACUUCUCCUUGUUACUGGUGGGAAGGCCGCCCCGGCAGCCUCGCACCAUGACAUGAACAAUUUUCGGCGCGGAAUGCGUCAAGGAGUAUGGACAUUGAUGUAAGACUAGCCCUCUUGCUGCCGCUUGGUUGUGUUGAGGGUGUUUCGCAUCGUUGAAGUUUAUGGUCUAAUGACUCUCGGCAACGGAUAUCUCGGCUCUUGCAUCGAUGAAGAACGUAGCGAAAUGCGAUACUUGGUGUGAAUUGCAGAAUCCCGUGAACCAUCGAGUCUUUGAACGCAAGUUGCGCCUGAAGCUAUUUGGCUGAGGGCACGUCUUCCUGGGUGUCAUGCUUUGUGUUGCCCCCUUACCCUCCUAUCAUGCGGAUGAGAGGGGCGGAGAUUGGUCUCCUAUGUGUCUUGCGCACAUGGGUGUCUUGAAUGUGGAGCUUCAUGAGUGAGCACUGUUGAUGAUCGGUGGUUGGAUGGGCCUUGCGCCCUAGAAGAAGCAUCUUGUUAGGAAGUGUCGCUCUGAGUUUGCUAGCUGGAUUUGAAUUGGUUUGAAUUCUUGGUGAAUAAAACUAUGAUUCGUCAACGGGUGCGACCCCAGGUUA